ensembl:lncRNA
GAGGCAAGUGUUGAUGUGUGAAGUGAGGGAACAGUUAACAUUUGUAUGUCUCCUCGUGGAAAACAGUCUGGAUGGAGAACAUCUUGGCAUCCAAAGGGAUGUAGGUUGAAAGGGAAGAUUGGGUACCAGAAGAGAAGAAUAAACAUGAAAGAGGAAUGGCAACCACUAUACUGAGGGUCUAGAAAACAUAUUUAUAUGAUUUCACUGAAUUUUCAACUGCACUACGGGGUAUAUUUACAAACCUAGCGGCCAUCAAGCAAAGGAAUAUUCUCUGAGAAACAUCUGCCCUCAUCCAAUGAGUAAGCAACUAACGCUGCUUUCUCAGUAAGAGAGGUUAAGCUUCCUUCUAGUCGAUCCUAAAAAGGCACAGCUGAGGAGUUAGGAUGUCUUUCAAACUCUUACGUGAGCUUGGAUAUGGUUGGUUCACAGGGCCUGACUGGCUAUUGAGCACGCAUUGCAUAUCUGCUUAGACAUUUCCUUUGGCCAGAACAAAGGCCCUUGAGAUAAAGAUGCAACUUCCCCCCGACAUUAGCAUUUUUCUUUAGGCUAGGAACUGAUUGCUGCACUCACCUCCCAGCUCACCUGUGACCAACCAGCUGGAGACAACAGACUGCCACCCUGCUGUGUUCACAGAGACAGAAGACCUACCUGCUAUUUCCAUCAAUCGCUGUGCCGACAGAGCAGUCUCGCGACUAUUGUAAAAGGGACAUUUCAACCCUAUGUGAAACAUCCUCUUUGAGGGUAUAUAACCACCCUUAUACCCAAACAUCUUUGGAGUGCUCUGUUCCUUUGUGGAAAGACUCUCCCGGGUUAUAAUCCUCAGAUUUAAGCUCAGAAUAAACUCACCCAAAUUUUCAUUUAUAGAUUGGAUAUGGAUUAUUUUCGUCGACAAGGUGAUGACCACCUGGACUCAAGGGGAGCAAUGGAGAUGGAGAAGAAAGGAACAAAUGUGAAACAACUUUAAAAAGAAGAGACAGUACACCUGGGCAGCAGAUUAGAAAUAAAGUAAAGCAAGAGUCAAAGACCACAGCGAGAUUUCAAGCCUGGGUAAAGGCACUAAUUAGAACAAAGGAAGACUGCAGCAAAGCGACUCUGGCUUGUAGAGUGGAGAAGGACAUCUAAGAAAUGACCACUAUGAAGCUAGCAGCCAUGGACAUGGUCUCAAGCACAUCUUUUAAAAACUUUUGAACUUACUGAGACCCAUUCUCUCUUCACUGGCAUCUCCAAUUCCAAAGAUAAGAAUAUCAUUUGGGGCACUUUUUAAGAUUAUAACCACGCUCAUAUUGACAAGAACUGUAAACAGCAGCUUGACAAUUUUUCAGUUGAAAACAAAUAUACGUAAACUCUCAAAAACAUUUAUUCAUUAAUUAGUAGAUACUUUUAGUCACAAAAAAUGGUUCCUUUUUCCUUAUUUCAAAGCAAAUAAUUUCUAGAAUCAUGUCUGAUUACCAUAUUGUUAUUAUAUUCCAGUUCAUUUUAUGCGCAGAGUUAUAGUCCUCAUCCUAUCUUCUAGAGUCCUAGACUGAAGAGAUUAUAUGGUGUGAAGGAGCUGCACAUGGACAUUUACUCUACACCAGUGCUUCUUAAAACUUUUUGGUCUCAGGAACCCUUUAUGCUCUUAAAAAUUAUUGAGGACUCAAGAGAGCUUUUGAUUAUAGGCUUUAUAGCUGUUGACAUCUACUGCAUUUGAUAUCAAAACAGAAAUGUUUAAAACAAUUAUCUAUAAAUUCAUUUUAAAAUAACAAUAAUAGAUCCAUUAUACAUUAAUAUAUAUAUAUUUAUUUUAAUGAAAAGUAACAUUUUCCAACCAAAAAAGUUUAGCGAGAAGAGUGGCAUUAUUGGACAUUUUUGCAAAUUUCUUUACUGUCUGGCUGAAGAGAAGAUAGCUGAAUUCAUACUGCUUCUAUGGUCAAUCUACUGAAAUACAUUAUUUCAGUUAAAGGAUAUGGAGAAAAUCCAGCCUCGCACAGAUAUGCCAUUGGAAAAAGGAAUAUCUUAAUAGCCUUUUAAAAAGAUUAUCUUUGAUGGCCCAGAAGUGGUAGUCAUAACAAGUGGUAGUUUC